rnacentral:lncRNA from 1 species
UUUAUUUAUAAUAUAUUAUAUAUGUUUCAUAAAAAUAUUUUUAUGCAAUAUAUUAUUGAUAGUUUUGGUAUUAUAUAAUUAGUAAUCUUGAAUUUUCAUAGAAUAUCAAACAAAAUAUUCAUGGAUAUCCGAGGAUCUUUGAUCACUGGAUCAUAGCCUACCAAACAUAGUGAUUUUAGAUCACUGAUGAUCAAAUAACUACAGGAUUUAGAUCACAAUGGUGAUCUCAUUUGGAUCAUCAAAUGCUACCUUAGAGUCUAUAGGUGGCCACCGAUCAGCAGCAGGCUCACACAUUAAGCCAUCAUUCCUAUAUUCAGAGCCCAGGAGAGGCUUAACAAAGCUGUUACUCUCAUCCACAAAGCUCAGGACGAGAGAGAUGAGGUAGCGCUCUCUGAUCUUACACUCUAAGGAGGAUUCGACACCAAGCCAUUCCUCCCCACAUUGAUCGAAGAGGGUCUCCAAGAGGGAGGUCAAUCUCAAUCAAAAAAUUGAGGGGAUGGACCAUCAUAACAAGGCAUUGAUAGGCCAAUAUCUCGGGCUUGGAAAUGAUAUGGAAUUUAUGAUUGAGCCCUCAUGCUUGCCGAAGAUUAUGGAAGCUUCUCCCACCUCAUUUCAAGAUGUCACAAUUGGAGACAUAUGAUAAAACCUCAAACCCCCCCAGAUCACCAAGAGAGCUUCAAUGCUCUUAUGAUGCUUCUAGAUAUCAUGAUGUAGUAUGGUGGCAAACUUUUCUGGCCACCUUUCAAAAAGCAUAGUUAUGGUCCACCAAACUUUAACCAAGCUCCAUCCAUUCUUUC